UACCCGGGUUUGACAUGCAAGUAGUAGGGAACUGAAAGGGGACCGACCCUUCGGGGAGCUUGCACAGGUGCUGCAUGGCUGUCGUCAGCUCGUGUCGUGAGAUGUCCGGUUAAGUCCGGUAACGAGCGCAACCCUUGCCGUAUGUUAUAGGUGUCAUACGGGACUGCCGAUAUAAAGUCGGAGGAAGGUGGGGAUGACGUCAAGUCAGCAUGGCCUUUAUGUCCGGGGCUACACACACGCUACAAUGGCCGGUACAAUGGGUAGCAAAGCCGCGAGGUGGAGCCAAUCCCGAAAGCCGGUCUCAGUUCAGAUUGCAGGCUGCAACCCGCCUGCAUGAAGUCGGAGUUGCUAGUAACCGCGCGUCAGCCAUAGUGCGGUGAAUACGUUCCCGGGCCUUGUACACACCGCCCGUCACGUCAUGGGAGCUGGCAACACCUGAAGCCGGUAUCCUAACCGAAANGAGGGAGCCGUCGAAGGUGGGGCUGGUGACUGGGACCGAAGNAAGUAACAAGGUAACCG
rnacentral:rRNA from 1 species